GCACCCGGCCCCGCUCCGCCCCCAGAGUCCGAUGGCGGCGGCCGCGCGGAGGGAGCCGGUUCAGCUCUUGGAUGUGGGAACCCUGAAGUACACCAAGCACUGGGAGUCGUGACAGGGUGGUGUGACCUUUGAGGACAUAGCUGUGUACUUCUCCUGAGAGGAAUGGGCCUCCUGGAUGAGACUCAGAGACACCUGUACCACGAUGUGAUGCUGGAGAAUCUUGCCUUUCUAUCCUCACUGGGUUGUUGCUGUGGAGCAGAGGAUGUGGAGGCUCGCUUUGAACAGAGCAUUUCUGUAGGAGUCUCACAGACCAGGAUAUCUCCACUUUCCCAGAAGACUCACCCCUACGAGAUGUGUGGUCUGGUGUUGAAAGACAUUUUGCACUUGGCUGAGCGCAAGGGAACACAACACAGCCAGAAACUGUUAAGGUGUGAGUCCUGUAUCAAACUGUUUUAUUUCAGUGCAACUUUUGAACACCAGCAGGAGCAGCACAUGGAGGAGAAAGCCUUCAGAAGCAGUGUGGACACGGGCUCGUUUGUGACGAGCUGCAGGUUCUGUGUGUCAGAGAAGCCCUUUCCCUGGGUGAAGGUUUGGAAGGACUUCCUGGCCAGCUUUGGACAUCUCCAGCAACAGGCCACUCACACCAGGAAGAAGCCCCAACAAAUCACCCAUUGCAAAGCAGCUUUGCAAAGCAGAAAACGUCAUUACACCUGGGGUGAAUGGCAGAUAGCCUUCAGCCCCAAAUACACACUUGUUCAGGACCAGGGUGUCCACCCUGGAAGACAGUGGUUUACAUGCCAUCGAUUUGGGAAAACAGGUACAAAUCCUCAUCUGUUGUACACCAGAGUGCCCAUGCUGGAGAAUGGCUUCAUGUUUGUGUGGUGAAUGUCGCGGAUUCUUUACGGGAAGCUUAACCUUCAGUCAACAUCAAAAAAUUCAUACUUGGACAAGGCAGUGCAUGUGAAGCAAAUGUGGCAAAUCUCUAAGCCACAAAUCUGUGCCCAUCAUGCCUGGAAGUCAAACUGGAGAAAAUUGUUUUGUAUGCAGUGAAUGUAUGAAAUCUUUUAGCCCUAGCUCAAUUCUCAUUCACUCUUGGAGAGUUCAAACUGAAGGAAUGUCUUAAAAGUGUAGUGACUAUGCUAAAUUUAUACCUCUAGCUCUGCCCUCAGUUAUCAUUUGAGAGCUCACACAGGAGAAAGACUUUUCUGACUGCAUUGAAUGUGGGAAAUCCUUUACUGAAAACUCCCGACUCAUUAUACACAGGAGAGUUCACACUGGAGAAAGACCCUAUAAGUUCAACAAAUGUGGCAAAGCAUUUUCCCAAAGUUCUUCGCUCCUUCGAUGUGAGAGAGUUCACACUGGAGAAAAGCCUUAUGAGUGCAAUGAAUGUGGGAAAUCAUUUCGCCAGAUCUCUGUGCUCCUUCAACAUUGGAGAAUCCACCUGGCGAAAGGCCUUAUGAAUGCAGUCAGGUUGGGAAAUCUUUAGCCAUAGGUCCAAUCUCAUUCAACAUCAGAGAGUUCACACUGGAGAAGGACCUUUUGAGUGCAGUGAAUGUGGGAAAUCUUUUAACUGAAGCUCUGUACUCUGUCGACAUCAGAGUCUUCACACUGGAUCACAGCCUUAUGAGUGCAGUGAAUGUGGAAUAUCCUUUGCUUAACACUCCACCUUCAUUAGAAACAGGAGAGUUCACACUGGAGAAAAACCUUAUGAGUGUGGGGAUGUGAGAAAGCAUUUAUUCAGAAGACCUACCUCAUUAUACACCAAAGAGUUCACACCAGAGAAAGGCCAUAUGAAUGCAACAAAUGUGGGAAAUCAUUUAGCCACAGCUCUGUGCUCCAUCGACGUCAGACUUCACACUGGAUCAACGCCUUAAGAGUGCAGUCAGUGUGGAAAAUCCUCUGCUGAUAACUCCAACUUUAUUAAACACAAGAGAGUUCACACUGGAAAAAGGUCUUAUGACAGCGGCAAAUGUGGAAAAGCAUUUAGUGAAAGUUCUGUACUGUCGACAUCAGAGGGUUCACACUGGAUAAAGGCUUAAUAAGUGAAGCAGAUGUGGAAAAUUCUUUAGCUAAAGCUCUAUGUUCCUUCAACAUCAAUAGUUCACACUGCAUCAAGGCCUUAUGAGUACACUGAGUGUGGGAGAUGCUUUGCUAAAAUCCUCAGUCUUAUGAAACACAGGAGCAUUCACACUGCAGAAAGUUGUUAUGGUGUAGCAAAUGUGGACAAUCUCUUACCUACAACUCUAGUUUCCCAAAACACAAGAAUGUUCACACUGGAUAAUGGCCUUAUGAGUGUGAAACCCUUGAGUCAGAAUUAGCCUCAUUACACACUGGAGAGUUCACACUUGGGAAAGGUCUUACAAGUGCAGUGAAUAUGAAAAAGACUUCAGCCUUUUCUCAUUGGAUACCACAGAGUUCACGUCAGAAAAACAACAGAUGUGCAGAGAGUGUGUCAUUUCUUGUUCAGUUUAACAACAUUGGGGAGAUCCCAUGUGAGGGUGCCAUCUGCCUAUAUUGAACUUCAUAUCCCUUAUAAACCAUGUAAAUUCCAGGAAUAUGGGAGCUGCAUUGUACUUUUUAAUUUGACCAGAGCCCUCCCUUACCAGACAUAUGUCACUGCCAGUUCUGUAGCAAAAGCGAUUUCACCUCUUAUAGUUUCACAGGUGGUCACGGUGUGCAUUAUUGACCCACUGCCAGGUGUCCAGGGAAGGAAACCUUGAUAAUCUGUCAUUUGUGGGAAGGAUUUGUAUGAAGGCUGAGCACUCAUUCCUUUCCAUUUACUUUCUCUGAUGAGCUACGUCACUGACGUGACCAGUUUUUGGCCCAGAGGACUCGGCUGGUGACUUGAAAAUGUGAGCUGCCUUUUCAUAGAUGUUGUUGGUGUCACGUGACUCCUGUGAUGAAAUUUCCUGCCCUUCAAGUCUCCAGCCCAGGAGCAGCCUGCCUCCAGUUGCUCUGCUUUGUGAAAAUGAAAGCCUUAUUGUUUAAGCCACGUUUAAUCUGGGGGUUCUAUUCACUGUGUGUGGUGGUUUGAAAACAGCCGGGUUCUGCGAACAGGAAGGGGUGAACAGCUUUGAUUGGGAUCCCAAGCUUUGUGUGUCUCAGCGGGGACAGUAUGAUGGCAGGAUAUGCCUCUCUCUGCAGUUUUGCCUAUGUUUGCAUUGCUUCCCAAGACCUCCAAGAAAAGAGUGCGGGGAUUUGUGGACCUAUUUGUAGCCUGGAUGCCACGGUAUUUGUGGUUCAGAGGUCAGUCUGUGGAGAGGCAGUGGUGAUAACCUUUGGUGCUUCUGAGAGCAACAUGAAAUUGCUCUCUUGUUCACAGAGGAUGUUGCAUUGUGCUCAGCGCUGCUGAGGGAAGUCUGUUUCCAGGUCCUGCAGCAGAGCCAUGUGCCCUGAUGUUCAGGAUUCCACAGAGUGGCAUCACGGGGUAUGGACAGGGGAAUCAUACUUGUUAUAGAAACACUAGAUUUAAAGGGAGGGGAAGGGACUGCCCCAAACUAGUUGGGAUGUGCCACUUUUAAAGGGGCACGCAGAAGAUUCCAGUCUCUAUGGCUGUGAAGGAUGAGCAGGCUCAAAAAUUCUCAUGGCCUCCAGAACUGUGCAUCUUGUGUAGCUGAGGUCAUUGUGAGGGGAAAACAUGUAAAUGUUUUGUGAAUUCCUGUAGCCUGUCUGGGCUGUUCACCUGAAGGCUAUUGCUGUGCAGGAACAUGAGGCUACAGAGGCCAGCUCUGUGGCCUUUGUGCCCCAGCCUGCAUUCCUCUUGAAUCUGACGGAAACUGCCUUGUAGCUCUUCAGUAUUUGCUACCACUGAGGCAGGGCGUCCCUCCAGGGCAUGAGGAAAGAGGUAGUGGAGUUAAUAUAGGUUUAUCAGACUGACAUUCCAAAAUUAAAGGAAAUCCAGAUUUUUUUUAACCAUGUUUUUAGAGCUCUAAUAAGAUGUAAAUAACUUGCAGUGAGCUGCGUAUAUUUAAACUGUACAGUUUGGUAAGUUUUGACACUCAUGUAAAUGUGUAAAACCACUAUUAUGGUGGUGAUGAAUGAAGCUCUCCAUCAUCCUCUUAUUUACCUAGGGCUCUGUCAUGUCUCUCUCUCCUCUCUCUGCCCUCCAGGUAACCAUUGAUUUACUUUCCUUUACAGAAGAUUAGUUUGCAUUUUCUAGAAUUUAAUAAGAUUCUUCUCAUAAAACGUUUCUUCUUUUUAUCCGCGAGUAGCCUCGUGUGGCUUCUUCAUUUUGAGGUUCAUCAGUGGUGCUCAUGUGAGUAGUUCAUUCUUUUUAUAUUGCUGGGGAGUAUGAUGUUCUGUGGAAGUACCACUAUUUGAUUAUUCUUUUGUCUGUGUAUGCGUAUUUGAGUUGUUUCCAGUUUUUGACUGUUGCAGAUAAAACUGGUAAGAUAUUUGAAAAGAGUUCUUCAUAUCCAUAUGAUUCAUGGAUCUUAUGUUAAUUUCUUGGGGUGCAGUGCCUGAGUCAUAGGGUAGGUGAGUAGAUACCUUUUUAAGAAAUGCCAAACUGUGACCUAACGUGGUUGUCCCCUUUUGUCUUCCUGCCAGCAGUGAAUGAGACUUCCAUUUCUUCCAUUUCCUUGCCAACAGUGGGUAUGGUUGGUUUUAUAAAAUUUUGAGCCCUUUAAUCAAUGUGUAACCAUGUAAAACAUUGUGGUUUUAGUUGCAUUUCCCUGUUUCCUGAUGUUGAACGUAUUUUCACUUGUUUAUUUGUCACUAUUAUGUCUUCUUUUGUAAACAUCUUUUCAUAUCUUU